rnacentral:misc_RNA from 1 species
CAACCCUCGGUACCAACCGGUUUUGAGCGAGCGCGGGUCCUGACCCGGGCUGGCUUUAAAGUUGUAAGCUCUGCUGGCUGCUCAGCCCAACCAGAACAUAGUAAAACCUACUUGUUCAGCGGUCAGGUUGAAGCGGUACGGCCUGAACAAAACCUACCCAACUCUAAG